rnacentral:rRNA from 1 species
GUGGGGAAUAUUAGGCAAUGGGCGAAAGCCUGACCUAGCAACGCCGCGUGAAGGAAGAAGGCCUUCGGGUUGUAAACUUCUUUUAUGAGGGACGAAGGACGUGACGGUACCUCAUGAAUAAGCCACGGCUAACUACGUGCCAGCAGCCGCGGUAAUACGUAGGUGGCGAGCGUUGUCCGGAUUUACUGGGUGUAAAGGGCGCGUAGGCGGACUGGCAAGUCAGAUGUGAAAUACAGGGGCUCAACCCCUGAACUGCAUUUGAAACUGUUGGUCUUGAGUAUCGGAGAGGCAAGCGGAAUUCCUAGUGUAGCGGUGAAAUGCGUAGAUAUUAGGAGGAACACCAGUGGCGAAGGCGGCUUGCUGGACGACAACUGACGCUGAGGCGCGAAAGCGUGGGGAGCAAACAGGAUUAGAAACCCCUGUAGUCC